rnacentral:lncRNA from 1 species
CAUCAUAGGUCAAAGAACUAUUCAUACAACUAUAGCAUUGAGAUGAUCACUGAUGAUUGAGUAGAAAUCCAUGUGAUUUCUCGUGUGGUUAUGCUUAGUACUAGUUAUUCUCUAACAACUACUACACUCGUCGCUCAGUGUCUCUAUACUGUAGAUCAAAGACUCAUCUAUCUCGAAGAAAGUAAUCUAUGAAUCGGUCUAUCCAGAUCGAUCAUCGUUCUCAUAAUGAUAC